GAUGAACGCUGGCGGCGUGCCUAACACAUGCAAGUCGAGCGAUUUACUUCGGUAAAGAGCGGCGGACGGGUGAGUAACGCGGGGGUAACCUGCCCUGGACACACUGAUAACAUACCGAAAGUUAUGCUAAUACGAGAUAAUAUGCUUUUAUCGCAUGGUAGAAGUAUCAAAGCUUUUGCGGUACAGGAUGGACCCGCGUCUGAUUAGCUAGUUGGUGAGGUAACGGCACACCAAGGCGACGAUCAGUAGACGACCUGAGAGGGUGAUCGGACACAUUGGAACUGAGACACGGUACAAAAUCCUACGCGAGGCAGGAGUGGGGAAUAUUGCAAAAUGGGCGAAAGCAUGAUGCAGCACCGACGCGUGAGCGAUGAAGGCAUUGGGGUCGAAAAGCUCUGUCAUCAAGGAAGAUAAUGACGGUACCUGAGGAGGAAGCCACGGCUAACUACGUG
rnacentral:rRNA from 1 species